GGACGGCACAUGAUACUGCGAGACUAGAGUAAUGGAGGGGGAACCGGAAUUCUCGGUGUAGCAGUGAAAUGCGUAGAUAUCGAGAGGAACACUCGUGGCGAAGGCGGGUUCCUGGACAUUAACUGACGCUGAGGCACGAAGGCCAGGGGAGCGAAAGGGAUUAGAUACCCCUGUAGUCCUGGCAGUAAACGGUGCACGCUUGGUGUGCGGGGAAUCGACCCCCUGCGUGCCGGAGCUAACGCGUUAAGCGUGCCGCCUGGGGAGUACGGUCGCAAGAUUAAAACUCAAAGAAAUUGACGGGGACCCGCACAAGCGGUGGAGUAUGUGGCUUAAUUCGAUGCAACGCGAAGAACCUUACCUGGGCUUGACAUGUAAUGAACAACAUGUGAAAGCAUGCGACUCUUCGGAGGCGUUACACAGGUGCUGCAUGGCCGUCGUCAGCUCGUGUCGUGAGAUGUUUGGUUAAGUCCAGCAACGAGCGCAACCCCUGUUGCCAGUUACCAGCACGUAAAGGUGGGGACUCUGGCGAGACUGCCCAGAUCAACUGGGAGGAAGGUGGGGACGACGUCAGGUCAGUAUGGCCCUUAUGCCCAGGGCUGCACACGUACUACAAUGCCCAGUACAGAGGGGGCCGAAGCCGCGAGGCGGAGGAAAUCCUAAAAACUGGGCCCAGUUCGGACUGUAGGCUGCAACCCGCCUACACGAAGCCGGAAUCGCUAGUAAUGGCGCAUCAGCUACGGCGCCGUGAAUACGUUCCCGGGUCUUGUACACACCGCCCGUCACAUCAUGGAAGCCGGUCGCACCCGAAGUAUCUGAAGCCAACCGCAAGGAGGCAGGGUCCUAAGGUGAGACUGGUAACUGGGAUGAAGUCGUAACAAGGUAGCCGUAGGGGAACCUGCGGCUG
rnacentral:rRNA from 1 species